rnacentral:rRNA from 1 species
UACGAAGGGGGCUAGCGUUGUUCGGAAUUACUGGGCGUAAAGCGCACGUAGGCGGACAUUUAAGUCAGGGGUGAAAUCCCAGAGCUCAACUCUGGAACUGCCUUUGAUACUGGGUGUCUUGAGUAUGGAAGAGGUGAGUGGAAUUCCGAGUGUAGAGGUGAAAUUCGUAGAUAUUCGGAGGAACACCAGUGGCGAAGGCGGCUCACUGGUCCGAUUACUGACGCUGAGGUGCGAAAGCGUGGGGAGCAAACAGG